rnacentral:rRNA from 1 species
UACGUAGGGCGCAAGCGUUGUCCGGAAUUAUUGGGCGUAAAGAGCUCGUAGGCGGUCUGUUACGUCCGCUGUGAAAACCCAGGGCUUAACCCUGGGCUUGCAGUGGAUACGGGUAGACUAGAGGCAGGUAGGGGGAGAAUGGAAUUCCCGGUGUAGCGGUGAAAAAUGCGCAGAUAUCGGGAGGAACACCGGUGGCGAAGGCGGUUCUCUGGGCCUGACCUGACGCUGAGGAGCGAAAGCGUGGGGAGUGAACAGG